GAUCAAAAACUAAAUUAUUAUAAAUUUAGACAUAAAAACAACAAGCAUUACAUGGUACUAUACCAUUUCAUCAGAGAUAUAGCACUAACAAAUGCCUAUAUUUUAUACCAAGAAACUAGAUAUGAUACAAGCAUGUCUUCCAAACUAUUUCGGAAGAUAGUAAUAGAGGGACUGAUAGCACCAUACAUGAAAAAUAGAAACCCAACAAGAACAGUAAAUAUAGGUGGUGAUCGUGAAUCGCUACAAUCUGUUUAAUCAUUAUCCAGCAUUAACCGAUCCUAAAAAGUUCAGAGACUGUGCUUAUUGUUCCAACAGAAAAACGGAUGGUGGAAGAAAACGGACAAGAUAUUAUUGUCCAGGAUGCAACAAGAAACCGGCACUGUCCUGAAUGUUUUCAGAUGUAUCACAGAUAAUCAGGUGUGAUAUACUCUAAAUAAAGAUAAUUUUACUUCCAGGUUUUUCUGGUUGUAAAUUCCUAUUGAAAAGAUGGUAGAAAUUAUGAAAUCAAAGAGAAUAAUUUCCUUUUGGAUUUAUUCCUGUGUCAAACUAUUUCCUUUUGGAUUUAUUCCAAUGUCAAACCCCCUUUUCUCUGGGAUUAAUUCCCAUUGAAAUGAUGGCAGAAAUUAUUAAAUCAAAGAAUAAUUCAAUCUCAGAUUAAUCUGAAAUUUAUAUCUAUAAUUAAGGAGAAAUUUUCAAUAUUUUCAGAAUUACUCUGUAAUUAGUUUAAUAAAAGGAAUGUCAA
rnacentral:lncRNA from 1 species